UACGUAGGGUGCAAGCGUUGUCCGGAAUUAUUGGGCGUAAAGAGCUCGUAGGCGGUCUGUCGCGUCUGCUGUGAAAACCUGGGGCUUAACCCCGGGCCUGCAGCGGGUACGGGCAGACUAGAGUGCGGUAGGGGAGACUGGAAUUCCUGGUGUAGCGGUGAAAUGCGCAGAUAUCAGGAGGAACACCGGUGGCGAAGGCGGGUCUCUGGGCCGUAACUGACGCUGAGGAGCGAAAGCAUGGGGAGCGAACAGG
rnacentral:rRNA from 1 species